rnacentral:lncRNA from 1 species
AAAGUUCCUCUUCUACUUGUGUAGACUUUGGAUUAGAAAUGCAGCACACGCAUAGCAAUGCCUUGGCAGGAGUGCCACUGUCCUUUGGAAACUAUAAAUUGCCUUUGAACCUUUUGAUCAAUGGUGCCACUGGCUGAUCUUGUGAUUACAAAAAUGAAACUCUGGCUGAGGACUUUGGAUUAGAAAUGCAGCACACGCCAAGCAAUGCCUUGACAGGAUUGGCAAUGUCCUUUGGAAACUAUAAAUUGCUAUGGACCCUCUAUUGAAUCAAAUCAAUGUCUGACUUUGUGAUUGCAGAAAUAAAACUCAGCCCAAGGCUUGGGAAUAGAAAUGGAGUGUGAGGGAAGCAAUGCCUUGGCGGGUGCCCCACGUCCUUUGGAAACUAUUUCUUCCAAUGUACCCUUUAGGUUUGAAAACAAUGUGUGUCUUUGUGAUUGCUGCAAUAACACUCAGCCCGGGGGCUUGGGAUUACAAACGGAGCGGGAGGGAAGCAAUGCACUUGCAGGAACGCAGACGUCCUUUGGAAAAAAAAGUUCCCUAAAGCCAGCCACAGCAAGGACUCUGCCCCAAGCCCCCAGCCAAUUUCCCCCCAAAAAAACACAAUAUCAAACCAGCAACAACAGAAACACUCUACCCCCAGUCACUUAGCCCUCUCUCCCCCAAGCAAGCAAGCACCUUCCCAGCGCGCGCGAAACACCCUCUCUCCUCGGUAUCCUAGCCCAGAAUGGCUUGGCUCCGUUGCGGAAGACGUGGAUGCAGAGGACGCUAGCCCCCACCUUUUUCAGCCAUCGUGGAAGACUCUGAUUGGCCAGGGAGCGGUAGCCAUGUUAGGCUGCGCUAGGCUCCCAUUCAUGUUAGGUUGCAGAAACAAAAAAAUAAAUAAAAAAUAAUUUAAAAAAAAUAUUAAAAAAAAUUUUGGAAGGAAAAAAUUUAACGAAAAAUUUAAGAAACAAUUAUAGAAUGGGCCAACGAUGGUUCGAAUUACAUUGCCAGUUGUGCCCAGGGAAAAUGUUUCAAUACUCGUUUUAAAAAACAAGAACAAUACGAAAUAAUUACGAAACGAGAAACAUAAUGAAUAUUUGGACAACCCUAGUGGACAAGUAUACACAGGGACCACCAAAUGCAGCGCCCAAACAAGAGUCAAAGAACAUGAAAGCGCUGUAGACUAAUUCAACCAGAGAAAUCAGCCAUAGCAGAGCACUUGAUGAACCAGCCUGGACACAGUAUAUUAUUUGAGAACACAGGAAUGCUGGACCACUCCAACAACUAUCAUGUCAGACUACACAGAGAAGCCAUUGAAAUCCACAAGCAUGUGGACAACUUCAACAAAAAGGAGGAAACCAUGAAAAUGAACAAAAUCUGGCUACCAGUAUUAAAAAACUCUAAAAUCAAAACAGUAGAUGGGAACCAACAUUAUGAGGGCAGAGGAGCCCCAAGGACGGCUAAUGACUGAACGAAGGAAGCCCCCCAGGCAAGAGACAAACCUUUCCAAUGCUAAUUAGGGUGAUUAACUGAAACAUUAAUGCAGGUUUCCCAGUGACAAAGGACUCUUGCCAUACCCUGGACUCUCCACAGAUAUAUAUUUUUCCUUGCCUUGCCUAGUUUAUCCAUGCCUCACAGCCUCUGAGGAUGCCUGCCAUAGAUGUGGGUGAAACGUCAGGAGAGAAUACUUCUGGAACAUGGCCACACAGCCCGAAAGACAUACAACAACCCUGUGAUCCCGGCCAUGAAAGCCUUCGACAACACAUUAUCCAAGGAUAGUGAGGCACAGAGAUCUUUAGACUUUCCCCUCUCCCUUGAUCAACCUUCAAUCAAAUGCCACAAAGUGCAGUCUUACCCACAUUGGGUUAUAUGGCUUGUGUAGAUGGGCUCCCAAAUUAAUACCAGUUAAAGGAAGCAGCUAGGUGGCAGCAGUAUUGAGGAUGAUACAAUGGUGAAGUAUCAGUCAGAAACCAUGACAGUAGCACUUAGUGAAUCCUUAUUAAUAGCAUUUAAAGAAGGCAAUGAUAUAUCACUUUUGAGUAUAUUUUAUCUUGAAAAGCAUGUGAUGAGACAAUCUGAAAUGCGGUAUAGUUCUGGAAGAUUAGAGCCUUUUCUAGGCCAGAAGGUACUCAAUAGAGUUGUACGUGGAUUUCGUUUCUUCCAUUUCCUCUAUUUCCUUCGGUACUUUGAAAGCACAAAAUGGGAAGGGCCCUCCCCGUAUGAAAAUCCACCCG